GACAGAGGGUGCAAACGUUGUUCGGAAUUACUGGGCGUAAAGCGCGUGUAGGCGGUCGUGCAAGUCGGGUGUGAAAGCCCUCGGCUCAACCGGGGAAGUGCACUCGAAACUGCAUGACUAGAGUCUCGGAGAGGAUAGUGGAAUUCUCGGUGUAGAGGUGAAAUUCGUAGAUAUCGAGAGGAACACCGGUGGCGAAGGCGGCUAUCUAGACGAUGACUGACGCUGAGACGCGAAAGCGUGGGGAGCGAACAGG
rnacentral:rRNA from 1 species